AUGGUUCUCAAAGAGCUCUGCCAUUUCAGUGGUGCCAAGAUACACCCGGGGAAUAGUAUCGGAUUCAUCCGUUCAAACUCGCAAGACUUCCUUUUGUCCAACACAAAGUGCAAGCGCUAUUUGCACAACCAUCCUAAUCCUGCUAAGCUUGCAUGGACGACCAUGUACUGGAAGCAGCAUAAGAACUUACUUGGUUCUGCACUAAACAGAAGGAAAUACGAUGAACCAUAUAUUUUAAUUUUCAAGGAAAUAGACAAUACGCCCAUAAAAAGAGUUAGAUCACAAUGUUUUCCAUCCACGACUGAAAUUGAGUUUAACUUUCCUAACAUCCUCGCCUACAUGGUUUCCAACAAAUUUGUGUGA
rnacentral:rRNA from 1 species